rnacentral:tRNA from 1 species
AGUUAUUUACCCAAUGAAGGUUUUAUGUCUUGAAAACAUAUAAAAGAGGUUAAAUUCCUCUAAUAACUU